rnacentral:rRNA from 1 species
GACGAACGCUGGCGGCGUGCUUAACACAUGCAAGUCGAGCGGUAAGGCCCYUCGGGGUACACGAGCGGCGAACGGGUGAGUAACACGUGAGCAACCUGCCCCUGACUCUGGGAUAAGCGGUGGAAACGCCGUCUAAUACCGGAUACGACCUUCCGCCUCAUGGUGGAGGGUGGAAAGUUUUUUCGGUCAGGGAUGGGCUCGCGGCCUAUCAGCUUGUUGGUGGGGUAACGGCCUACCAAGGCGAUUACGGGUAGCCGGCCUGAGAGGGCGACCGGCCACACUGGGACUGAGACACGGCCCAGACUCCUGCGGGAGGCAGCAGUGGGGAAUAUUGCGCAAUGGGCGAAAGCCUGACGCAGCGACGCCGCGUGGGGGAUGACGGCCUUCGGGUUGUAAACCUCUUUUACCACCAACGCAGGCUCCGGGUUCUCUCGGGGUUGACGGUAGGUGGGGAAUAAGGACCGGCUAACUACGU